rnacentral:rRNA from 1 species
CAACAGCGUAUAUUAUUGAUGUUGCAGUUGAAACGUUCGUAGUCGAACCUUAUCUGCUAAAGCAUUGUGGCAUUUAUGAUGACAUGAUGCUCUCAGCAGAGAUUGUACAAGUGUUUGCAUGUGUUUUACAUGUUUGACCUUGUAUCUUACUUUGAGUGAAUCGGCGUGUUCCACGCAGGCAUGAGCCUUGAACGAUUUACCAGAGUAUGGAAUUACCAGGCAUGAGCAUAAUCAGAGUAUGGAAUUGCUUCCUUGUUUGUUCGGAAGCUUUUUCGAUACUGAUAGGAACGGUUGAGGGCAUUCGUAUUCGACUGCUAGAGGUGAAAUUCUUUGAUUAGUCGAGGACGAACCAUUGCGAAAGCAUCUGCCAAGGACGUUUNCUUUG